UACGUAGGUGGCAAGCGUUGUCCGGAUUUACUGGGCGUAAAGAGCGCGCAGGCGGUCGUUCAAGUCGCGUGUGAAAGCCCCCGGCUCAACUGGGGAGGGUCACGCGAUACUGAUCGACUCGAAGGCAGGAGAGGGGAAGUGGAAUUCCCGGUGUAGUGGUGGAAUGCGCAGAUAUCAGGAGGAACACCAAUAGCGAAGGCAGCUCGCUGGGACGGUACUGACGCUAAGGCGCGAAAGCGUGGGGAGCGAACAGG
rnacentral:rRNA from 1 species